rnacentral:rRNA from 1 species
GAUGAACGCUGGCGGCGUGCUUAACACAUGCAAGUCGAACGGAAAGGCCCAAGCUUGCUUGGGUCCUCGAGUGGCGAACGGGUGAGUAACACGUGGGUGAUCUGCCCUGCACUUCGGGAUAAGCCUGGGAAACUGGGUCUAAUACCGGAUAGGACGAUGGUUUGGAUGCCAUUGUGGAAAGUUUUUUCGGUGUGGGAUGAGCUCGCGGCCUAUCAGCUUGUUGGUGGGGUGAUGGCCUACCAAGGCGUCGACGGGUCGCCGGCCUGAGAGAGUGGACGGCGACAUUGGGAAUGAGAUACGACACAGACUCCUACGGGAGGCAGCAGUGGGGAGUAUUGCACAAUGGGCGCAAGGCUGAUGCAGCGACGCCGCGUGGGGGAUGACGGCCUACGGGUUGUAAGCUCCUUUCGCUGGGGACGAGGCAUGUUUGUGACGGUACCUGGAGAAGAAGCACCGGCUAACUACGUG